GAUGAACGCUGGCGGCGUGCCUAAUACAUGCAAGUCGAGCGAACAGACGAGGAGCUUGCUCCUCUGACGUUAGCGGCGGACGGGUGAGUAAAACGUGGAUAACCUACCUAUAAGACUGGGAUAACUUCGGGAAACCGGAGCUAAUACCGGAUAAUAUAUUGAACCGCAUGGUUCAAUAGUGAAAGACGGUUUUGCUGUCACUUAUAGAUGGAUCCGCGCCGCAUUAGCUAGUUGGUAAGGUAACGGCUUACCAAGGCAACGAUGCGUAGCCGACCUGAGAGGGUGAUCGGCCACACUGGAACUGAGACACGGUCCAGACUCCUACGGGAGGCAGCAGUAGGGAAUCUUCCGCAAUGGGCGAAAGCCUGACGGAGCAACGCCGCGUGAGUGAUGAAGGUCUUCGGAUCGUAAAACUCUGUUAUUAGGGAAGAACAAAUGUGUAAGUAACUAUGCACGUCUUGACGGUACCUAAUCAGAAAGCCACGGCUAGCUACGUG
rnacentral:rRNA from 1 species